rnacentral:rRNA from 1 species
AAAGCAGGGGAUCGCAAGACCUUGCGCUUUUGGAGUGGCCGAUGCCUGAUUAGCUAGUUGGUGGGGUAAGGGCCUACCAAGGCGACGAUCAGUAGUUGGUCUGAGAGGACGACCAGCCACACUGGGACUGAGACACGGCCCAGACUCCUACGGGAGGCAGCAGUGGGGAAUUUUGGACAAUGGGCGAAAGCCUGAUCCAGCAAUGCCGCGUGAGUGAAGAAGGCCUUCGGGUUGUAAAGCUCUUUCAGUCGAGAAGAAAAGGUUGCGACUAAUAAUCGCAACUUAUGACGGUAUCGACAGAAGAAGCACCGGCUAACUACGUGCCAGCAGCCGCGGUAAUACGUAGGGUGCGAGCGUUAAUCGGAAUUACUGGGCGUAAAGGGUGCGCAGGCGGCUCUGUAAGUCAGAUGUGAAAUCCCCGGGCUUAACCUGGGAAUUGCGUUUGAAACUACAAAGCUAGA